CUUUUUUAAAAAACAAAACAAUGAUAAAUUUAAAAACCUUAAUCUUUGUUUACAUGGCAUGUAAACAAAGAUUAAGGUUUUUUAAACUAUAUAUACCAAUGAUGGUAAUAUAUACCAAUGAUGGUAUAUUAAAAAAGAUUAGGAUUUAAGAUUAAACCGUUACUUUGGAAUAUUUUAUUAACUAAUAGUAUCAAAUACCAUUGUUGUUAAUACACCAUAUAUAUAAAAAUAUACAAACAACAUUAUUAUACUUUAAAGUAAAACAUUAUUGGCUUAAGCCAAUAACGUUUUUGACAAAAUAUUUUUAUAAUAAUAAGCUUAUUUUUGUAAAAAUAUCAAGAUACUUUUACAAUAAUAAAUUUAUUCUUAUAUCUUGUUAGUGUAUUUCUAAUAUACAGUAAUAUAAUUUUAAAAUACAGUAAUAUUAUUUGUUUUUAAUUUUUUUUUCAUACCUUUUUCUUGUUAGUAAAGUUGUUAUACGUAAAGCAGAACUGAUUUAAUAACUGUUAUUUUUAUCGACUGUUGACAAUUUCAAGAUCUUUUUUUUUUGAUUAUACAAUUUUUUUGUUAUCUUUAUUCCAAUAUGCACAGACUACAGCUGGUAAGUUAUUAUAGCAUAACUUUUAUUAACCAUUAAAGAAAUAUAAAUAAAUAUAUGUAUUUCCUACUUAUCUAAUUAUUACUUGUUGUGUAUGGAUUUCCCAUUUGCUGCAAUUUUUUAAUUUUAGUAUCUACCUUUUGUGUUACAUGUAAGUUAAACAACUUUUUAAUGUUAAAACUUUACAAUACGUUUAACUUAAGUUCCUUAGUCAUGUGCUGCAACUAGUAAUUUAAAAAACUAUUACAUUUUAUGUGUAUGCAUUUCUCGUUAUUUAAAAUAUUGAUUUUUUGUUACAACAUUGUAAUUUUAGUAUCUACCUCUUGUGCUACACCUGGUAAGUUAAACAACUCUUUCUAAUGUGCACAAAUUUCUCAUUGAUUGCAAUAUUGAUUUUUAUAAUAUAUUUUUUACCUUUAGUUCUUUAUACGUGUGGCCUGGUAAGUUUCAAAACCUUUUUUCUUUUAACAUGUGUAUGCAUUUCUUAUCAAUUGCAUAUUCUUUUUUGCAAUUGCAUUUCUUAUCAACUGGUUUUUAAUUAAAACCUUUUUUAUAUAAAAAUUAUUACUUUUUAGACUAUGAAUGCAUUUAUUACCAUUUGCAAUUUGUAUUUUUUAUUAAAACAAAUUUUACUUUUAGUUCCAUCUGUACCACCUUUAAACGGUAAAUUUAUAAAUCUAGAAUGUCUCUGAUUUUUUACUGAGUUCCUCUUAUUCCUAUUUAUAUUAUCUAUUUAAUACUUUUGUGUUUUGUUAUCUCUCCAAGUGCUAUAAAAGAAGAAUCAGAAGCUUAUACAUGUUUGAGUUUUUAUUCUGAUUAACUUUUAUUAAAAUUUCAUUGAUUCAUUAAUCAUUCUUUAUAUUUAUUCAGACAAACUGUCUUAGUAAGUAUUUAUUUAAUUUUUUUAAUUUUUAAUUACAUGAAUUACAAAUACAUUAAUAUUUUAUUUGUUUUUAGAGCUUACAUAUGAAGCUUAUAGGUCAUUUCAAUCUUAAAAUUAAAAUCAUUUACUAAAAGCCAAGACAUAGAGUAAUUACUAUGUUUUAAAACAUUUUUAUUAUUAUUUUUUUUUUAUUAGAAUGGUGGGUUAAAUAUGAUCAUUUAAAUGAGAAAAUGUAUACUAGUGCAACUUGUAAUCUGGGUGUUAUAACAUCACAACCACAUCUAUGGUCAACUCUAAGAUCACCUUAUUUUGUUUGGCAGUGUUUUGGAAUCAAGUUAUGGCAAUAUUUUGUGUAUAAAAUAUAACAAUUACAUUUAAAAAGUGCUUAUUUCUGACAAAAA